rnacentral:rRNA from 1 species
UAUUCCCCACUGCUGCCUCCCGUAGGAGUCUGGGCCGUGUCUCAGUCCCAAUGUGGCCGUUCAACCUCUCAGUCCGGCUACUGAUCGUCGACUUGGUGGGCCGUUACCUCACCAACUAUCUAAUCAGACGCGAGCUCAUCUUUCAGCGGAUUGCUCCUUUGGUAUUCAGAUGAUGCCAUCCGAAUACGUUAUGCGGUAUUAGCGAUCGUUUCCAAUCGUUAUCCCCCUCUGAAAGGCAGCUUGCUCACGCGUUACUCACCCGUCCGCCACUAAGCACAAAAACCGAAGUCUCAGUGCUUCGUUCGACUUGCAUGUGUUAGGCACGCCGCCAGCGUUCAUCCUGAGCCAA